rnacentral:lncRNA from 1 species
UUAAGUAUUGAAGUUAUUUCAUUAAGCCCAAAUCAAAGCCAUUAUCAGUCUCUUCUCUUUGCCUAAUUCGGAAGCUCGCCUAGAAGAGUAAGAGAGUUGACCUCUAUUGUAACUAUGCAAGUCAGUGAAUUAAUAACAAACCGUUAGUUGCAAUUUAGUUGGGGAGCUAGUGAGAAUAACUAGCAGUAGAGUGGCUGAGAAGUGACACUCCUCUUAGGGGUUGUUUAAGCUAAUAGAGAUGGUUGAGUCUGUUAGGGACUGUAUAGGGAGAAAUGGUAGAAGUCAAGUAGACUGCAAGAAGCUGUGCAUGGGGGCUGAUUAGAGGUCAAUGCAUGGGCCAAGUAGUUUCAACUGGAAGAAAGGGAUGAACCUCGUAGGGGUUAAGUAGGAGCAAUGAUGAAGAACAGCUAUGCGUCUAGUAGACUAAUUAGAAGAGAAGAAAAGCUCAGCAAUAUAUGGCCAAACAUACUACCCUAAACCAGCCACCUAUAGCAAAGUACUGAGGUUCUUAAAGAUAGUAACAGUUAGAGUGAAAGAGAGAGCUUCGGCUAAGAUAAGGCAGAGGAGAAGUAGCAGUUCAGGAAAAUAAUUUUUCCUCUUACCAACCGAGUCAACUAUCACUUUCAAAUUAAAGAAAAGGUAAUGUUAAAAUACUCCUUUUCUUAUUUAAAGCAGGUAUAUGGCUGUUAUAUGGAUUCGUUGACUACUAUGUUGAUUUUUCUUGCUAUGUCAACUAUUAGAAAGUUUAACUGUUGCUGUGAUUAUUGCUUUGUGUGGAUUUAGGCAUUACAUGAAGACCUUAAUAAAUCAAAAGCCAAAAAGCUGGG